rnacentral:tRNA from 1 species
GAGGAUAUAGCUCAAGGGGUAGAGUGUGCGCUUGGCAUGUACAAGGCCCUGGGUUCAAUCCCCAAUAACUCCU